CGUUCUCUGCAGUGUUCGAGUAGUGGGUCGGGUAACCCCUUGAUCCUAGUUAAUCUUACCCAGGGUGAGCGGUCGUCGGCGUAAAUGUGCAUGUCCGCCUCGUUGUGGAAAGCCUGAUACGCCGCGUUGUUCCCCCACUUGAGCCUCCCGGUUCAAGGGUAACGACCCGAGACGGCACCGGCGGAGGGCGC
rfam:Candidatus Contendobacter odensis Run_B_J11, WGS project CBTK01000000 data, contig: COMPJ11_2695_Contig_12